rnacentral:rRNA from 1 species
GACGAACGCUGGCGGCGUGCUUAACACAUGCAAGUCGAACGGAAAGGCCCUGCUUUUGUGGGGUGCUCGAGUGGCGAACGGGUGAGUAACACGUGAGUAACCUGCCCUUGACUUUGGGAUAACUUCAGGAAACUGGGGCUAAUACCGGAUAGGAGCUCCUGCUGCAUGGUGGGGGUUGGAAAGUUUCGGCGGUUGGGGAUGGACUCGCGGCUUAUCAGCUUGUUGGUGGGGUAGUGGUUUACCAAGGCUUUGACGGGUAGCCGGCCUGGGAGGGUGACCGGCCACAUUGGGACUGAGAUACGGCCCAGACUCCUACGGGCGGCAGCAGUGGGGAAUAUUGCACAAUGGGCGGAAGCCUGAUGCAGCAACGCCGCGUGCGGGAUGACGGCCUUCGGGUUGUAAACCGCUUUCGCCUGUGACGAAGCGUGAGUGACGGUAAUGGGUAAAGAAGCACCGGCUAACUACGUG